CGGGUGGCUGGGGCGGGGGUGGGGGGAGGGGGCGGAGAGACCGACCCGGGGCCGGCGGGGCCCGCCAGCGAUGAACUCGCCGUUUGCUCCCCUCCGGGACCCGCUCCGCGCCUCCGUCCCGAUGCCUGCGAUGAUCUGAGCGGCGGCGAGGGCGCCACGAGCCGGGGUCCCAGACGCGUUCCGCCUCUUCCCCCCUCCCCUUCCCUCCUCCCGGACGACCCGGCCCGGCCCGCGACGUGCGGUGACCCCCCUCCCCUUUUCCCUUCCCCCCUUCCCUUGCCCCUCAUUUGCCGAGCCGCCGCCACCGCCUCGGACCGGGGACCCGCUUCUUCUUCGGCCGCUUUCGAACUAAAGCAUCGAGACAUAAUGGGGGCAUUUUUAGACAAGCCAAAGAUGGAAAAGCAUAAUGCCCAAGGGCAAGGUAAUGGGCUACGUUAUGGGCUAAGCAGUAUGCAAGGUUGGCGAGUUGAAAUGGAAGAUGCACAUACAGCUGUGAUUGGUUUGCCAAGUGGACUUGAUGGAUGGUCAUUCUUUGCUGUGUAUGAUGGGCAUGCUGGUUCCCAGGUUGCCAAAUACUGCUGUGAGCAUUUGUUAGAUCACAUCACAAAUAACCAGGAUUUUAAAGGAUCUGAAGGACCGCCUUCUGUGGAAAAUGUCAAGAAUGGAAUCAGAACAGGUUUUCUGCAGAUUGAUGAACAUAUGAGAAUAAUAUCAGAGAAGAAACAUGGUGCAGACCGAAGUGGGUCAACAGCAGUGGGUGUCCUGAUUUCUCCCCAACAUACAUAUUUCAUCAACUGUGGAGACUCAAGAGGUUUACUUUGUAGGAACAGGAAAGUUCAUUUCUUCACACAAGAUCACAAACCAAGUAAUCCUUUGGAAAAAGAACGUAUUCAGAAUGCAGGUGGUUCUGUUAUGAUUCAGCGUGUGAAUGGCUCUCUUGCUGUAUCUAGGGCGCUUGGAGACUUUGAUUACAAAUGUGUCCAUGGUAAAGGUCCUACAGAGCAGCUUGUCUCACCAGAGCCAGAAGUCUAUGAAAUUGAAAGAUCAGAAAAAGAUGAUCAGUUCAUCAUCCUCGCAUGUGAUGGUAUCUGGGAUGUUAUGGGAAAUGAAGAGCUCUGUGAUUUUGUAAGAUCCAGACUUGAAAUCACUGAUGACCUUGAGAGAGUGUGCAAUGAAGUAGUGGACACCUGCUUAUAUAAGGGAAGUCGAGACAACAUGAGUGUGAUAUUGAUCUGUUUUCCAAGUGCACCAAAAGUAUCACCAGAAGCAGUGAAGAAAGAGGCAGAGUUGGACAAGUACCUGGAAAGCAAAGUAGAAGAAAUCAUAAAGAAGCAGGGCGAAGCCGUACCAGACUUAGUCCAUGUGAUGCGCACAUUAGCAACUGAGAACAUCCCAAACCUCCCACCAGGGGGUGAACUGGCAAGCAAGCGGAGUCUAAUUGAAGCCGUUUACAAUAGACUGAAUCCUUUCAGAAAUGAUGACACUAGCUGUUCACUGCACCCAUUCUCUUACACACACCCCUGAUUGAUUGCUCUGAAUUCUGCUUGCUCUGAUCUCUGCCUGAACAACAGUUCUAGUGAUUGAGGACAUAAUCAUGGACUCUACAUCAGCUGAUGAUAUGUGGUAAAAACUUCUCAUCUAGCCUGGAGUUUACCUUCAUCCUCCCAAGGAAGUACAGCUCGACUUCACUGAACCUUCUUAACAUCCAUCUUCAAUAUUAAAGAAGGGGAUACUAUAAGGGUGAGCAAGAUGACACCACAGAACUACAGCAGUACAACAACUAGCCCAGAAUGGAUCCUUUUUUUUUUUUUUAUAAAAUUGAGACUUAUGUAAACGUGAUUUCAAACCAUAUUUCGUGUUGUAAAUCAGACUUCAGCAAUUUUUGUUGUAUGAUUUUUUUUUUGGUAAAGUGCAAUUGUCUUUGUACAAAAUGCUCAUAUUUAAUUAUGAACUGCUUUAAAAAUCCCUAUCAAAGUUUAAAAUGUUUGGCUUGUUGUGUGAUGCAACAGAUAGGUGGGUAACCCUUUAAAUUCAUGUUGUGUUUUGGAUCUGGGGUGGGGGUGGGGGGAGCAGCAGCCUGACCGGUGAGAUGCUCAAAAAUGCACACGAUUAUGAAGAAGAAUUUCAAAAAUCUUACAGAGAUGAACAUCCUUGAAGUUAUUUCACCCUUAAUUUUCUUAGCAGUGGGCUAGUGUUAAGACUAUGGCUAGUUCAUUCAUAAACUCCUUCGGGAUGUUUUGUUUUCCUCGUUGCUGCUUAUUAUUGCAGGUAAUAGUGUAUUCAUAAGAAUAUUGAUCUUGGGGCUAGAAUGCCUUGAUUCUUUGCACCUCUUUUGCAAGUCCUUACAUUAAAUUACUAAUUGAUAAGGAACAGCUUCCUACAUAGAGUAGGAAUCUGUAGCAUUUUUACUAUCAUGAUUGGCUUGGGCCUGCUGCUGUUCCUAGUAAAAUAUUCUGAACUCCAUUUUAUCAAUAAAGCUUGAUUUUAACAAACAAGACAUUUAAUUAUGUAUGUGUAAUUCCUCUUUUUCUCCCCCUGCCUUUUAAAAUGCCGAGUCAUUGUAAAUGAUGGGUUUCAGGUUUGUAGACAUGAAAACCCAUUUUUAAGAUGGACCACAAUGUUGCCCAAAGCAUAGAUGGAAUUUCUCCCCCUGCAUUAGGUGGACUAGAGGAUUUAAGUAACUGUUAUUCCUAAUCUAUUUUAAAUGAGUUUCUUUCAGACUGCCUAUUUUUCAUUCAGAAGUGCAUCAGCUUGAAUUUACCCACCAUUUAAUGAAAAUGUUAGUUGAAGCCUGACAAUCUAACACUUUAUGAUGUGUGUGAAUGUGUUUGUGUGUUUUAAUUGACCCACUUAUUUAGAGUACUAGUGGUUAAAAUACAUUUGUGAUUUGAAAUAGAGCAUGUUGACCACAUUAAAACAUUGGUCAUUAAAAAUAACUUUCAGAAGUUAAGGAAUAUAGAUAUCAAAAUAAAAUUAUCUUAUUUUAGGCGUAUCUUCUCCCUUUGAUCAUAUGAAAGUAAGUUUUCAAGUUAAGUCAUGUUGACAAACUACUGUUUUGUGCUCUUUUGUGUUUGUUGUCUCUUUAGGUUGAGAAUGUUGUAUUAUUAGUAUGUAGUUUUGAUUAUUCAGUAGGCAGAUGUCUUCACAGGAAAGUCAUUAAAAUGUAAGAUUUAACCCUUCAUCUAAUACAAAAUCAGAGCUUGGUGUAAAAGUGUGGUAUGAUGCUCUUAUUUACUCUGUUUGUCUUUUCCCUAAUUUGGAAAGACACAUAUUUGUGUAUAUAUACAUAAUAUGUAGCCUUAAAACUAAUGCCAGGUUAAAGAAUAUUGGACAAAGUAAUUUAAGAUGUCUCAGAAUUAAGUAUGGUUAAUAUACCAGCAAAAUCUUUCCUUUAUCCCUCUUGUGUGGGGUAAUUAAACAUAACUUAAUUGUCUUUUUGUAUCAUGUAUCAGCAUGAAUGAAGAAAAUAUAAGUACUAUUUGAAUUUUUAAGUUUAAGGUAAUUUGGGUUAAAGACCACUUCCUUCUAAUGUCUAAUUCCAUUGUAGAAUGAAAAUUAUCAUAAUGUCCUAAGUUAUAACUUUGUACUCCUUACACAAAGUUAAUAUGUAGUUAUGACUAAGGAUUUUGACUACCCAGGUACAAAAAUACCAGUGUAGAAAGCUGAACUUCUUAGGACAAGCCUGUUCUUUACUGUGUAGACUAAAGUUUAGUUCUAGGAACAACAAACUUUGAACUGGACUAUGGAAAUUUUUGAGAUGUAAAAUCUUACAUCACAAAUAGAAUUGUGGCAGAAUGCCACAUUUCACAUCAUAAUCACACAGUGUGUCAUAAUGAAAUUUAUUUAAAAAACAUUUUGAGAGGCCCUGUCUAAAAAGUGAGAACAUAGAAACAUUCUACUGUUACAGUUGCCAGUGUUUCAUCUAGGGCUGAAGGUGAAAGAAAUGUCUAAAAUAAUUUAUUCUGGCUUUGUAAUUCAGUACUUAACUGUGGUCUGAGAACACUGAAUCUAUUAUCUGUGAAUAAACACUGCCGUGCUAGGUACUAAUUUUGAUUAUGAAAAUACAUGCAAUGAGUAUGUAUACCUUAUUAGAGCAAUGGACUAUAUGUUUUUAUUAUUCCCUAAAAAAAUAUUAACCAUACUUUUAAAAGGCACUUUUUUGCACCUUUGUUGUGUAUUUCAUUUAUUGUACCUGUUCAAUUUUUGUUGUUGUGCUAAAAACUUUAGCACCUCAGGGGCUGUGCCACAUAUUUUUGAAGUGUCGUGUGCUAUUUCCCUUUGGGGGAAAAUUUUUGUGUGGUAACAGUGUUGUAAUGUGGUAUUCCAAAUGUACUUUGAUUUAAAUGUUCUAACAGAAUGGACCCAGUUUACCUAUUUAAAAAGGAAAUGGCGUGUUAUAUAGAAGUCCACUUUCAUAAACCAUACAGAUAUGUUCCCUUUCCCUAACUUAGCUCCACUGGUUUGUCAGUUUUUGUGAGUACUGUCAGCUAGAGAAAAUGUCUUAAUGGUUACUUUGGGGACAUGUACCUUUUCAUAGGUAACUGUUUAAUGUUCUAAGCAGUUUUCAAUAUUAACAUUGACUUUUAGAAAUCAAUAUAUUCUUUAUUAUCAAUUCAGCAUUAAAGAUUUAUUAAAUGAAACUUUUAUUUUAGUUAUAAAAUACUGUGUUGACCUGCUCUUGUUGUAGAUUAAGAACCACUGCAGAAAUUGCUAAUUUUAUUUCCUGAUUUCACAUAAGUAAAAAAAAAAUCAGGAUUUUUAAAAAGAAAUGAAUGUAUAUAAUUAAGGCAUUUUGAAUUACAAGUGGUUUCAUUCCUAUAAUACAAUCCCUUUGGUAGUAUUUUAUAUUCUAUCCACUAACAUAGCUUUCCAUUUUAAUAUUUAUUGAGCUCUUUGUAUGUGCUGGGCACCAUGGAGGAUUCAAACAGGCCCUAACCUUGAGAAGCUUUCAGUGUAGUAGAGAAAUUUAACUUUUGUGUGUGGCUUAGUGCUACAUGCCAAUCAAAUUAAGCCAUAAAAUUGAGAUCAUUUGACCUUCAUCCUUCCUCCCUACCCCUUUUCCUAUUCCUCAAAUUGAAAUCUUGUUUUUAAAAAAAUUAUUUGUGCUCAGCAUAGGGAUCUGAAAUUUGGUGGGUUGAGGAUUAAGCUUAUUCUAUUUUGCACUGUAGAUUUAACUAAAGACAUAUAGCAGGAAGAAACCAGGAAUCUUUCAGGAAGAAAACCAUUGAAACACUUAGGCCCUAGGAAUAUGUUUAGGUGUGAACUUUAAGUUUUAGUUCUGUCAAAAAAUGUUUUCUGCAGCCAGUCCUAUCAUUAAUUAGCAGUUCAAUGUCAGUAUUCUGUUCCUUUUCAGCAAAGUGGCUGUUUGUGGCUUAAUUGUAAUUUCACUUCCUCUAAUUAUUAAACAUAUUUAUUUAGGAAUUCAAUAUUUUACCCUCUUGUGCUAUUGAAAAAUUGUUUUGUUCUUUAAGACUUGAUGGAAAGGUUAAAUUAGAAGUUUAAGGAUCUAAUAUUUUGAUUUCCAGUUGUACAGUAUUACUGUAGGAUGUAGUAUUAGUAAAAAAAGUUUUCAUGUAAAUAUAUCAGAAUAUAAAAACUGUUUCAGGUUGAAUACAAUAUGGAUUUGCAAAUAUUGCAGCAGAAAUGACCAUUUUGGUUAAAUAACAGUGGUCCAAAUUUCUAAUGGAUUUAUUUUUCUUUAGGUAUUGGAAAAUUUCAUGGCUUUCUUUAUCCAUAAAAACUUAAAUUUUAAUAGUUAAUAAUGUGAAAUUUUGGAUAUCUGAUUCUCUUUGUGUCUUCUCUUCAUAUGCCACCACAAUACAUACCAUCCAUUUGUGUUUGUUAAAUUGAGACCCUUCUUUUUAAAAGUAAAGAUUAUUUCAGAGUGCUAAAAAUAAGUAUUUUUAAAAGUAUCUUCCAAAUUUAUAGGUGUGGUUUAUUGAGAGGAAAAAAACUGUUCUUUAUUAAACUACAAGUGAAUCUUAAUUCUGAAUAAUAAAGAAAUAAAAUGGAAUUUGCCUUUUUUUGUUUCACUAUCAAGUGGGCAUUUUCCAUUUUUAUUAACUUUGGCAUAACUAGAUUCUUUCCCUUUUACUUACUUGCUAUUUUAAGCUGUUUGCUCAUGGCCCCAUGAAAUUUCAAGCAAAUGCUUAGAUGAAAGUGUUCAUUGGGAUAAUUUUAGCUGACAAUGAAACUACGCCGGCCACUUACACUUUUAUUUCAUAACUGAGAAUAAGAAAAAGAAGUGGCCUGUUUGAUCACUUUGCUCGGUAUGUAGCAAAGAGAUAACAGUGUUUUCCCUUGUCCCACAUAAAAUGCCUUGUCCUUUUCUCGCUCUAGUUUUUCUUCCUUUAACUUUAUUAUCAGACUGAAACAGGCCAGUUUAGUUUGUUUGGCUAAUAAUGCUUGGUGGUUAGCAUCAUUAUAAUGAGAGAGGGCUUAUUUAAAGGUAUCUGAAUGCCUAAUAACUUUGAGGGAUCAGGGUCAGAAUCUAAUUUAAUUGGGGUGGAGAACUCUCCAUGUGAAAACUGCCUCCACUGUUACAGAUUCCUCUGCAACUUUUUUAGUCUUAGGUAGUUGCUUGGAAUCAUUGACAGGCUACAUAAUUUGUGUAUUGUCCUUCCUACUGCUAGUUUGUGUUCAAAAAGACAGGAAUUCAACUGGGGUCUUCUUGAUUCCAAGAGGCACCAUGCUGCCUCUUAUUGAAUGAUAUGUUAAAAUAGUAUUAAAAUAAUGAAAGAAGUAGCUGGGGAUGUCAGGAGGAGUGGGGAUGAAAAGAGUGGGUCUUAAUUAUUUUAUAAGGUAUAAUAGGUGUGGGGGUCCAGUCCCACUGUGAAUCACUAAUGCUGUUGCAUCAUGUCAGGAAAAUCCAACCUUAACUUCAACCAAUAUCACUUUUUGCUGCAAGAUUAUUGAUAAAAAUUAUUGCACCAUCAACAUAGAAAUAACUUCUAAAAGAAUUAUAUUAAUGUAGCCAUUUAUAUUUUUCUGAACUCAUCUAAUAAAAAUCAGUGUUUACUAUAAAACUCUAUCUUUCACAUUAUCACUGCACCAGUAUCCUUUAAUGAUCCUGAUUCUAAGGGUCAUUUAAAUUUUUCUGCUAAUUACUUUCUCAUCAACUUUAAAGUUUAGAAAAAUAGUGUAGAGCCUUUUUGUUCUUUUGUACACAGAACCUUUUGAUCAUCCAGGAAACUAUUAUUUAAUAGCAUAUUUGCAAAUAAGUGUAGUACUUUUUGAAGCAACUUAGAUUUGUGUACAUAGUUGGUUCUGAACCUACUUUCCUAAUUCAGUAAUUGCAGGUAUAUUUGGUGAGUGCCAAAAAUGCCAUAUGCAUAGUAUAUUUAUGUAGUGGUGUUAUAUUGCUAGACAGACAGACAGACACACAUACAUACACACACACACACACACACACACACACACACACACACACACACACACAACAACAACAACAACAACAACAACAACAAACCCAGCAAUGAUCAGAACACAAGAUGAACUCAGUUAACUUUAGGAUUUAAGUUUGAGGGGUUGAGGGAGGUGCUUGGAAGCAAGAAUUUAGCCACAGUCUGAAAUGGAGAAUUUCCUUUCUCAGAUUCUGCAAAGCAGAAUAUACCCUAUAGCUUUUUAAAAUUUUGUGUUGUGAGUGUUGAAAGGUGAAGGGAAAUGAUAUUGUUAGGACUAAUCUCUUUUUUUUUUUAUUUGAGGAAUAUAAUCCUUUUCUAAGAAGAUUUGGCCCUGGAAACUUAACUGACAGAAGAUUAAGUGGAGUUAAAAAAAAAAGAUUGAUAGUAGAAACACUGACCCCAAAUAAGGCACAUUAUAAUGGAGUACUUGCUAUGCAUACUUUUAUUAUCCAUAUAAUUUAUUGUCAGAGGUUCACUAAUUUGUCUUUUUCUUUUAACCCUUGAAUAUUAGGAGACUAGAUUUCUGGUGUUCAUUGCUGGUGUUAAAAUAUAUUAAUUAUUAUGCAUAUAUUCAGGCCAUCUCAGAUUUCAAGAUAUGAAGAUUAAAGUACUAAUAGAGAAGAAAUUAAUAAUUAUGUCCAGCAUUUCCAGCUACCAGCCCAGGAUUAAUGACAUUUCUUCCAAAGCAUACGUCCAAUAAAAAGGAGGUUUGACUAUUAAUUGAAAUUUGGAUUUUUUUUUGUCACUAAUUAGGUUGUUUUGAUUAAUUUUGGACCCAUCUCUAAUUAGUAGAAGAUCCAUUUUGUAUGUAUUUUGAAGUAGAGAAAUCACCGUUUUUUCUCCUAAUGCCCUUUUAUGAACUCAGUAUCUUCAUUGGAGAAAACACAUCUCAUUUGUAGUGCCAUGCAAUGCUGAUUGUUUUAGCUCCUACAUAAUAUUCAAAAUUUUUUGUGAAAAUGUAAUUUCCCCCUUCAAUUUGUAUUAAUAUUAUGAAGACAUGUAAGCUUAAAAAGCAUGUUUGCAGAAUACUUAGCUUCGUUAUAAAAUUUAUAAUUUUGAGACUAAUAUACAAAAGCAGAGCUAUUUUCCUUAAAUAUAAUGUAUAAUAUUCUCCACAGUGAUUACCCACUAUUUGCAGUUUAUGUGAUCCAAAAUGUGUUUACAAUAAGUUCAAUAAAUGUAUAUUUUGUACUGUGUACCA